rnacentral:rRNA from 1 species
UACGGAGGGAGCGAGCGUUGUUCGGAAUUACUGGGCGUAAAGCGUAUGUAGGCGGCUUUGUAAGUCAGGUGUGAAAUCCCAGAGCUUAACUUUGGAACUGCAUUUGAGACUGCAAGGCUUGAGUAUCGGAGAGGUUGACAGAAUUCCUAGUGUAGAGGUGAAAUUCGCAGAUAUUAGGAGGAAUACCGAUGGCGCAAGCAGUCAACUGGACGAUUACUGACGCUGAGAUACGAAAGCGUGGGGAGCAAAC